GACGAACGCUGGCGGCGUGCCUAAUACAUGCCAGUAGAACGCACAGUUUAUACCGUAGCUUGCUACACCAUAAACUGUGAGUUGCGAACGGGUGAGUAACGCGUAGGUAACCUGCCUGGGAGCGGGGGAUAACUAUUGGUAACGAUAGCUAAUACCGCAUCAUCUUGAUUAUUGCAUGAUAAUUGAUUGCAAGAUGCUAUUGCAUCACUACCAGAUGGACCUGCGUUGUAUUAGCUAGUAGGUGAGGUAACGGCUCACCUAGGCGACGAUACAUAGCCGACCUGAGAGGGUGAUCGGCCACACUGGGAACUGGACACCGCCCAGACUUCUACGGGAGGCAGCAGGAGGGAAUCUUCGGAAAUGGACGAAAGUCUGGCCGAGCAACGCCGCGGUAAGGAAGAAGGUUUUCGGAUCGGAAAGCUCUGUUGUAAGAGAAGGACGGGUGUGAGGGUGGAAAGUUCACGCUGUGACGGUACCUUAACAGAAAGGGACGGCUAACUACGUG
rnacentral:rRNA from 1 species